GCGUCCAAUCCAUGUGCGCGUCAGGAGGCACUGCACCCAUUCGUCACCACGACGCCAAACCCCACAGCGCCCCAAUCGCCCGCAACCCUUUCCCCCGGACACCGCAGCUGCCCUCCUCCUCCAUCCUCUCGCGCCCCCCUCCCACAUCUCAUCCAGCCCCCUUCCUCGUUCAUCCCUGAACAGAUCUGAGACGUGCGGGCAUCGAGGAGAAGGGCGACGGUGGUGGCGCUUGAUUUGUGGCAGCGUCAUGGAUCGGCCCCUGCUGAGCGACAAGAUUGCUGGAUUGCCACAAUCUCACCUCGCCCCACCAGCUUCCAGCGCCAUGGAUCCGCCGGAGACGGAGGGCAACAAGUGAGAGGGAGCAGGAUAAGAGGUGAAUCGAGGGAGUUAAAGAAGAAGCUCACACGGGAAGGGGAAGAGGAAGUCUUGCGGCGUAUCCUCAUCUCAUCCCCGGCUGCAGAUCUUUUGACGCCAUGGCACUAGAGGUGGCUCCUCGAUGGAGCCGGCCGCUCUUGCUCGACGCCACUAUACACAACACCGAGGUAGGCUCGACUACCUUUCUCCUCUCUCCCGUGUGAUUUGUUCUCUAUUGAUUUCCCCUCUUGCCUGUUCUAAUUCGUGGGCAAAACAAUGGAGGAUUUCUUCAUUGUUGAUCUGAUUUGGGGCUGAUUUUCCCCUAGAUUCCUUCCUUUUAUAGUUCUUUUUCGACUUGUUGUUCAUCGCGUCGAUGGCUUCCACGGAGCAGAGGAAAGUAUGCCCUCUUCAUCUCGGCAGAGGAGCGGGACGGCCAGGAGCUGUCGUCCUGCUACCCUAUGCCAAUGGAUGCGCCUCCCAGAUGGCUAGCAACGGCAGAUCCAGCUGGAAAGGACUCUAUGGUACCAGUCCUAUUAUUGAAGCCACUUGAUAGCUGCCAUUAGCUGUAAUGUAAUUAGGCAGAUUGAGAAGCUGAUCCAAGCGAAGCAAUGAUGUAAGAUGCGAGGAUAACUUCUACAUGGUACUUCCUGUUUGGUGUUCUUCUGUUGGAGCUGAUCACCAGGAGAAGAAGCUAUGAUGCUUCGAGGCCUAAACCAGAGUAGAGCUUGCUAACAUGGGCAAUCCUACAUUGCCAUAAUUUGUCAAGACCAUUUAUGCAUGACGAGAGGAAAUUCCACCGGCUGGCUCGCCCAGCGCCCCGCGGCAGCUACCCGCUGUCGGCACUCAACCAGCUGCUGGUGAUCAACAUCAUGUGCCUGCAGGACCAGCCCCACGUCCGCCUGAUCAUCGCCAGCAUCACGAUAGGCCUGAACCAUGUCGCCAGCCAGCUGUACGUCUCCCUGGGCUCCCUGGCGACAGCAGCGGCUCGCUGUGCUAUGCCUGCACACGAUCCAGACAGCGAGGCAGUGGCAGCAGGAGGGUCGUGCAGUAUGCAUUGCAGCCUCCUAGGCCUUCCUUAGCCUGGCGAGAGAUGAAGCGGCAGGUUGUUGGACUUGAACGUAUGAUAGGGUCAAAGCCCUCUCUUUGUAUUCAGAAACUGCCUGGUCUUAGGGCUGUACGAAGGAGCGACUGGUAAACAUGGUAGUU